ensembl:lncRNA
UUUCCGUUUCACUCCGGAUUCUUGCUGCUGCUUCGUGGUCUUCAUGCUUCUGUUAAACAUGGCUUAUUUUAAAAUCCUUCUGGUUUUGUUUCUAAUUUCUGAGUUAACAGCUCUUCAGCAGGAUGUUCAGGCAAAACCUGGAGCAUACGUCACUCUUCAGUGUGAGAUUUCCACAGAUGAAAUAAUCUCAGUGCUGAAGUGGAGCAGAGCUGACCUGAACACAGACGGCUACGUCUACUUCUACAGGAACAAACGAUUCUAUGAAAACUACCAACAUCCAUCUUUUCAUGGCCGAGUGAAGCUGAGGGACCCAGAGAUGAAGGAUGGAGACGUUUCUCUGAUUCUGAAGAACGUUGCGUUUAAUGACACUGGGAUGUAUGAGUGUCACAUAGCUGUGAGGAACCCUGUGAGAAGUAAAAGAGUUCACACUGAGAUCAGUCACUUCAUCAACUUCACAGUCACAGGUGAAACACAUGAAAGCGUGUUGGAGAAAACAGUCAUGGAAAAACGAGGUGCAGAUGGAAACAUGGAUGAUGCUGAAAGGGUCGGAUCUCCAUCUCUUCAGGUUGUUGUUCCUGUUGCUGUUUUUGUUGCUCUUGUUGCCGUUGCUUUUGGGGUACACCGAAAAACUCAUCAACAUAAGAAGCAACAUCCAGUCAAGCUUCCUACUGAAGACUCUGCUGAAGUGUAAUGAAGCUGCUACAGAAACAUAUAAGCUUUCUUUAUGAAAACUAAAGUACUGAAAAGCACGUUGUUACAGCAUUAACACAUUUUAUUACAUUUAUUGAUAUACAGCUUUUAACAAAUUUAUUAAACCACAUUCGUUAACCAAGAAAAACCACCCAGCAUCACAAACAGCUGAAUUCACCUUCAGAAUAUUCACAUCUAAUCCUAAAGUAUGAGCGUAAAUGCAUUCACACAAACACACAUACUGCAGGCCACCAUCUCCAGUCUACUUCAGUUUUAGUCUUUUUCUGGUCUGAGUAAUUUUACACUUAACGUCAGUAUUAUUAUUUUUCUUAUUCUUCCAUUUUGUUUGUGUUUUUUUAAAUUGAAGUUACAAAACUUUGAGGAAAAACACAGAUGCCUUUCUUUUGACGGAAAUAUUGAUAUUUUUAUAGUGAUCAGGUCAUGUACUGUGCUAUGGUUUUAUUUUAUUCCAGGUUGUUUAAAUUUAGCUGCUGAGAUAUCUCAAAGCUUGAGGACAGAAGCAUGAAAAACUGCACAUGUUGUGUGAAGUAACUGAUGAAACUAAUUGUGAAUAUAUCUGAUCUGGUUCAAUGAAUGACUUCCUAAUUUGAACAUUAGGAAGUCAUUCAUGGGAACAUUCCUAAUGUGCUGAUGGCAGCGUCACUAUACAGAAGUGCAAACCAGGAAGUUAAACACUUCUCUGCAUCAACACAAACUAAAUGCCUGAAUGAUAAAGAUAUGUGCAGGUCUACUAGUGCAUGUUUUAUGAGAAAUACUGUUAAAAUGUGAGGUAAUUUUAUUAAAAUAUCUGUGUUUUGUGAGAAGGUCCCAUAGAAACUGUAUAUUUUAGAUAUGAUCAUUGUCCAACAUCUUCCCAAUGAAAUGAAAACAGUUGUUUUAUGAUGCAACCUGAUACUACUAUUAAUAGUAGUAUCAGUAAUAGUAAUAUUUAGAGGGAUUGUUGAAGCUCACUGUGAACUAAACUAAACAUGAAUUAAACAAUGCAAACAAAUGUGUACUGAAUGAUCCCACCCUGGGAAAUAAAUAGGAAUAAAUAAAUGUGUAUCAUUGAUGAAAGUCAAAACUUUAAUAUUUUUGUUUA